rnacentral:rRNA from 1 species
UACGUAGGCAGCGAGCGUUGUUCGGAGUUACUGGGCGUAAAGGGUGUGUAGGCGGUUGCUUAAGUUUGGUGUGAAAUCUCCCGGCUCAACUGGGAGGGUGCGCCGAAUACUGAGUGACUCGAGUGCGGGAGAGGAGAGUGGAAUUCCUGGUGUAGCGGUGAAAUGCGUAGAUAUCGGGAGGAACACCAGUGGCGAAGGCGACUAUCUGGGUUGUAACUGACGCUGAGGCGCGAAGGCUAGGGGAGCGAACAGG